CCUACACUAAAUAAUUUUUUUAAUUUUUUUGUUCUAGUUCCCAUCCUUUUUUAAUGAACAAUACUGUUUUUGUUGAGCAUUAAUUUUUAAGCAGUUAAUUGUUUGGUACAAUUUUGAAGAGUAUUUCUUAAUUUUUAGGUAAUCCUGAAAGUGCAUCCAAGGCAGUUGAAAAGAAGCAUCCUAAACUAUUGAAAAAUCUAUAUUUAACAGAAAUAUAAUUUGACGAGGAGUUUGAAAUGUUGUAUUCAUUACAGGAGGCCUAAAAGAAGACAA